GACAGAGGUGCCAAGCGUUAGGCGGAAUCACUGGGCUUAAAGCGCGUGUAGGCGGGUCGUUAAGUGUCCGCGGGAAAUCCCACGGCUCAACCGUGGAACUGCCGGGCAUACUGGCGAUCUUGAGGCAUUCAGGGGCGAGCGGAACAAAUGGUGGAGCGGUGAAAUGCGUAGAUAUCAUUUGGAACGCCAAUGGUGAAAACAGCUCGCUGGGAAUGAUCUGACACUGAGACGCGAAAGCCAGGGGAGCGAACGGG
rnacentral:rRNA from 1 species